GUACAUAUUAUCUAUUUCAAAUGCGUCUUUUAUUUCGUGAAUUCAUUCUAUGUGUUGCGUGCUGUGGUAGUCUAUGUAUUCUUAGUUCUUACUUUUUGAGUAUCCUUUAUUGUGUUGAGGAUUGCUGCAAAGAUUUUGCCCAGCGGUUUGGCAUGGACCUAAAUGUAUUCCCAUCUCUUUGUGUAUCCCUUUGAGUUGGGUGAAUUUGGGUAUUAUGGUAUUUGCUUGAUUGUUGUUAUUUGUCGCGAAAUGAGAAUAGUUAUUGGAGUAGGUGACUUUUAUCGGAGUAUUCCACAUUAGGGAAAUGUAAGUAGAAAAAAAAAUUUUUGGGUCAAUGAAAAUUGGGGUGAAUGCAAAUUCAACAUGGCAGAAAAGAAUAUGGUGCCAGAAGUCUCUGAUUCGAGAUGAGUCUGGCUUGGUUUGCUUUUGAGCUGGCCGAGUAGCUUUUGAAUAUUUGAUGUGGGUUUGUGGUUGUGGAUAGGGAUCUUAGAUUUUUGUUUUGCUUUAGAAGUUCUCCAAGGUGCUUUAAUUUUGUAUGCGUCAGACAAUCUUCCAUGCAUAGCUUUUUUGACAUGAUAUCAGUAUUUCAGCAUGCAAGACAUCCUUAUUCCAUUACUG
rnacentral:misc_RNA from 1 species